UGGGGAAUUUUGGACAAUGGCGAAAGCCUGAUCCAGCAAUGCCGCGUGUGUGAAGAAGGCCCUCGGGUUGUAAAGCACUUUUGUCCGGAAAGAAAUCCUUGGCUCUAAUACAGUCGGGGGAUGACGGUACCGGAAGAAUAAGCACCGGCUAACUACGUGCCAGCAGCCGCGGUAAUACGUAGGGUGCAAGCGUUAAUCGGAAUUACUGGGCGUAAAGCGUGCGCAGGCGGUUUGCUAAGACCGAUGUGAAAUCCCCGGGCUCAACCUGGGAACUGCAUUGGUGACUGGCAGGCUAGAGUAUGGCAGAGGGGGGUAGAAUUCCACGUGUAGCAGUGAAAUGCGUAGAGAUGUGGAGGAAUACCGAUGGCGAAGGCAGCCCCCUGGGCCAAUACUGACGCUCAUGCACGAAAAGCGUGGGGAGCAAACAGGAUUAGAUACCCUGGUAGUCCACGCCCUAAAACGAUGUCAACUAGUUGUUGGGGAUUCAUUUCCUUAGUAACGUAGCUAACGCGUGAAGUUGACC
rnacentral:rRNA from 1 species